rnacentral:rRNA from 1 species
UACGAAGGGGGCUAGCGUUGUUCGGAAUUACUGGGCGUAGAGCGCACGUAGGCGGAUUCUUAAGUCAGGGGUGAAAUCCCGAGGCUCAACCUCGGAACUGCCUUUGAUACUGAGGAUCUUGAGUCCGGGAGAGGUGAGUGGAACUGCGAGUGUAGAGGUGAAAUGCGUAGAGAUGCGCAAGAACACCAGUGGCGAAGGCGGCUCACUGGCCCGGUACUGACGCUGAGGUGCGAAAGCGUGGGGAGCAAACAGG